rnacentral:rRNA from 2 species
UAAUGAGGCUGUUCGUGCUGCAGUCUCGCUGCAGUCGAACGAACUCUGGUAUUGAUUGGUGCUUGCAUCAUGAUUUACAUUUGAGUGAGUGGCGAACUGGUGAGUAACACGUGGGAAACCUGCCCAGAAGCGGGGGAUAACACCUGGAAACAGAUGCUAAUACCGCAUAACAACUUGGACCGCAUGGUCCGAGUUUGAAAGAUGGCUUCGGCUAUCACUUUUGGAUGGUCCCGCGGCGUAUUAGCUAGAUGGUGGGGUAACGGCUCACCAUGGCAAUGAUACGUAGCCGACCUGAGAGGGUAAUCGGCCACAUUGGGACUGAGACACGGCCCAAACUCCUACGGGAGGCAGCAGUAGGGAAUCUUCCACAAUGGACGAAAGUCUGAUGGAGCAACGCCGCGUGAGUGAAGAAGGGUUUCGGCUCGUAAAACUCUGUUGUUAAAGAAGAACAUAUCUGAGAGUAACUGUUCAGGUAUUGACGGUAUUUAACCAGAAAGCCACGGCUAACUACGUGCCAGCAGCCGCGGUAAUACGUAGGUGGCAAGCGUUGUCCGGAUUUAUUGGGCGUAAAGCGAGCGCAGGCGGUUUUUUAAGUCUGAUGUGAAAGCCUUCGGCUCAACCGAAGAAGUGCAUCGGAAACUGGGAAACUUGAGUGCAGAAGAGGACAGUGGAACUCCAUGUGUAGCGGUGAAAUGCGUAGAUAUAUGGAAGAACACCAGUGGCGAAGGCGGCUGUCUGGUCUGUAACUGACGCUGAGGCUCGAAAGUAUGGGUAGCAAACAGGAUUAGAUACCCUGGUAGUCCAUACCGUAAACGAUGAAUGCUAAGUGUUGGAGGGUUUCCGGCCCUUCAGUGCUGCAGCUAACGCAUUAAGCAUUCCGCCUGGGGAGUACGGCCGCAAGGCUGAAACUCAAAGGAAUUGACGGGGGCCCCGCACAAGCGGUGAGCAUGUGGUUAAUUUCGAAGCUACGCGAAGAAGCCUUACCAGUCUUGGACAUACUUAUGCAAAUCUAAGAGAUAAGACGUUCCUUCGGGACAUGAAUCAGGUGGUUGCAUGAUGUCGUCAGCUCGGGUCGGGAAAUGUGGGUAAGUCCCGCAACGGAGCGCAACCAUUAUUAUCAGUGCCAGCAUUAAGCUGGACCUCUGGGUGAACUGCGGUUCAUCGGACCAGUGGAUGACGUCAUCAUUAUGCCUUAUAUAGUACCUGGGGC